GCUCCUAAAAUGAGCAAAUAAGCUGUGCAUCAUCUCUGUGAUUUGGGAAGGAAAUGACUGAAUAUGAUGAAGCCAAUUGAUGAAGAUAUCAAUUGAAUGGCCACCGAGUGCAUCACUGCUACCUGAACCCAUCAGUUAUCUGCUGUGAAGACUGCAUUCACAAACCGCUCUACUGCGACAGCUCAGAUGUUACGGCCUGUAAAAGUAAACAUCAUAGCUAAACAACGAGAGCUAAUUGUGGUGGGAUUCUUUUGGCCAAUAUCCCCAACAAGAAUCAAUGUUAAGUCCAGUGCAACAAUUAUAAAUAAAAAUACUAUAUAUUGUUUAUUGAUUUACCAUAACCUAAAUACAUGUUUUGGCCCUCCAGGACAUCUAGACCAGGUGGAGUGUGAGGAGGACCAUCAGAGACUCCAGCCAGCCGAGCCAUGGAUUGCUCUCACUGUUACCAUCAAGCAGACGUUAUCACAGAACCUACACCAGCAGACAGUGAGACAAGUUCCUUUCACAGGCAAUCAGACUAAACUGAACUCAUACCAGUAAAACCAUACACACCCCACCAACCUCAUAUGCCCUGCACUCUUAUCAGUUAUGCUGACUGGACUCAAUAUUAUUAUGCACCCUGACAUUCUGUUUGCACUAAUUCAUACCGUGCUUUACUGCAGAGAUGUAUGUGUACUGUGUUUAUUAUUGUUUUCAAUUCAUGCUCUUUGUAUAGCAUAAUUUUUAACAUAUAUUGUUCUCUACCUGAAUUGAGUCCCUUAUAUAUCUGUGUUUCAUAUAUAUAUAUAUUCAGAAUUUGUAUUUCAUAUAUAUUCAUGAAUUAAUUCAUUUGUCAUCCGUACUGUCACGCUGCAGUCUGCACCCAAGACUUUCAUCACCUGUAUACUUGUGUUCAUUGUAUUGUGACAAUAAAGAUAUUUGAU